CCUUGAGCCUCUCGGGCCGAAGACGUGCCAUGGGCUAGCCCCAUCGGUUCUCUUCGCCCAAACAACAAACCCCCGGCGCCGAACGCGCCAAGGAACAUGAUUCUAAGGGCGUUCUCUUGUCGUCCCGGCAACGGUGCACGUGCAAUGAGUGACGCGAAAUUUGUAUCCAAAAUGACUCUCGGCAACGGAUAUCUCGGCUCUCGCAUCGAUGAAGAACGUAGCGAAAUGCGAUACUUGGUGUGAAUUGCAGAAUCCCGUGAACCAUCGAGUCUUUGAACGCAAGUUGCGCCCGAAGCCAUUAGGCCGAGGGCACGUCUGGCUGGGUGUCACGCAACGUCGCCCCAACCCCCACGCCCAUCGCAGGGCGUCGGGGGUCGAGGGCGGAUGAUGGCCUCCCGUGAGCCACGCCUCGCGGAUGGCCGAAAUAAGAGUUUGUGAUGUGGCGAGCACCACGGCGCACGGUAGUUGAGUAAACAACGCUCGAGCCCAGUCGUGCGUGCUCCGCCCCCGUGGCGAGCUCGGAGACCCUAUCGCGUCUCGGGACGCUUCUGAUGCGACCUCAGCUCAGGC
rnacentral:rRNA from 1 species